ensembl:snoRNA Small nucleolar RNA SNORD11B
CCCAAGCAGUGAUGAUGGCGACAAUCUGUCACUUUCCUGAUACAAACUGAUGGUACUAAGUCACUACCUCAUCUGAGCUUGUA